CUACAAAGUUCGCACACCUUGUUGGGUUUUAUCCCUGGAUCGACUGGACACUCGGAGUUCCAGUUCCUGGUCUCUAAGCUGUGGCGACGGAGCUCCGGACAGACCCUCUUGAGCCCCUCGCCGAGAGCCAGCUCGCGCAAGGACCAGUGUUCCACGCCCCCGCCACCCUCGUCACCGCGGGGAACUCUGCGCCGGCGGCAGGCAGGUGGGCGAGCGCGCCGGCUAGGUGAGUGCGGGAAGUCCGGGCGCGCGGGUGAACCCGCUGGGCAGGGGACGCGGACCCUCGCGCGUGGGUGCCCUCUCGGCUCCUCCUGGCCCCUCUCCAAAGUUGUACCCAGUAUCUGGGGUAGGGGGAGAUGGAUAGGCUCACCUGCUGGAAGUGUUUACUCGGGCGAAAGAGCGAGUCAUUGGCCAGGCCACUCCCCCCUGGCUGGACACGCCGGCCGACCUCGGGGUCCCCCGGGACUGCGACUGUCCCUGAAGCUGCCCCAAGCGUCUUCCGAGUCCUAGAACUCAGGGAUGUGCUAAGGCCACUACCCUCUCCUCCGACCCUUUUAAUUCGGGCAGAAGAGGGCUACUGAGAAUCAAGACCCAAACUUUGUUUGACACAGUAAAACUGACUUUCCAGGGCUUUUUAAAACUCGUCUUGCGCACGCGGUUAAUGGUGGGUUCCUGAGGACGCCUCCGGGGAGCAGGGCUGGACCGGCCGGGCCGCGAGUGGGGCGCGCAGUGGCCCCGGGGCACAGGGACAGCCCUGGUCCUCUUGGGCCGGGGUCGGGCCCAGCUCGCGCAUAACGGCCCCGGACAGUCCGGGCGCGCUGGCUCGUACUCUCGUGGGUGGCCGCGGUGGGAGGCGCGGGAGUC
rnacentral:lncRNA from 1 species